rnacentral:rRNA from 1 species
GACAGAGGGGGCAAGCGUUAAUCGGAAUUACUGGGCGUAAAGCGUGCGCAGGCGGUUUUGUAAGCCAGAUGUGAAAUCCCCGGGCUCAACCUGGGAAUGGCAUUUGGGACUGCAAGGCUCGAGUUUGGCAGAGGAGACUGGAAUUCCUGGUGUAGCAGUGAAAUGCGUAGAUAUCAGGAGGAAUACCGAUGGCGAAGGCAGGUCUCUGGGCUGAAACUGACGCUCAUGCACGAAAGCGUGGGGAGCAAACAGG